CUGCGCCCACCCACCUUAGGAAUGCCGCAUGGCCGGGGCCCGGGGCGGAGCGGUGGGACCAGGGCUCCCGGAGUCAGCUCCAGGGCAGGAAGUGGCCCGCUCCUCCUUUCAGAGAGUGUUUCCGGAGCGCCUACUGUGUGCUCCUCCAUGGGGGUGGGGGCACUACCAGGCACAAAGGGUGCCAGUCCCCGUACCUUUGUAAGUUCGCCUCCUCCUCUGGGAGCUUGCCCUUGUGGGGAUGGGGAAACUGAGGCUCAGUCGGCUCAGAGUAACUCCCAGGUGCUAAAGGACCAGUUGUUUUGUCCGCUCAUAAGGCAAACGGCGCGGCGAAGACCACUUGGGAUAAAACCCCAAGCCUAGCGCAGAUGGUCGGCCAGGGGAGCCUCUGGUGGGCAGUCACAAGCCCACGGAUUCCACCAGUGACCCCAGGCCUGCUCACAUGAGUGACGCGUUCCUCCCCAUGGCCAGCAGCAGAGCGGACUGAAUGCUGGGUGACAGGCUGGCCUCAGACUCCGGUGCUCAAGGAUAUUCUUGCUUCAGGUUCCCAAAUAGCACUGCACACUGCACACGUGAAUCCCCAUGCCUGAUGCUAAUGAAACCCCCGUACAUCUCUGUGAGGAGAUACUGGCAGAGGAAACUGGGACUCGGCCAGAUUUAACUGACCGAUCAUGGCGCGGAGCGGUGGCCUGGUUCACCGAUGGAAGCAGCUUCAUGGUAGAAGGUAAGAGCAGAGCCAAGGCAGCUGUAGUGGACGGGAAGUCUGUUAUAUGGGCCAGCAGCCUGCCUGAAGGAACAUCAGCCCAAAGAGCAGAACUUACUGCCCUAACUCAGGCUUUAAGGCUAGCAGAGGGAAAGACUAUUAAUAUUUACAUUGACAGCCUGUAUGCCUUUGCAACGGCUCGUGUUCACGGAGAGAUCUACAGACAGUGUGGACUAUUGACUUCUGCUGGAAAAGACAUCAAAAAUAAAGAAGAGAUUCUUAGUUUGUUAGAAGCUGUCCACUUGCCCUGUAAUGUGGCGAUCAUCCAUUGCCCAGGACAUCAAAAGGGAACUGGACCAAUAGAAAAAGGAAAUCAGAUGGCAGACCAGGUGGCUAAAGGGGCAGCACAGGGGCCAAUGACUUUGGUAAUUAAAACCACACCCCAGCUGGUUGAGGAGAUCACAGAAAAAAAGAUCCUCACAGAAGAAGAGGGGCUGGAAUACUUGACUAAUAUACACCACCUCACUCACCUGGGACCCAAAAAGAUGACAGAACUAGUCAAUAGAUCCCCUUACCAUAUCCCUAGACUACAAAAGGCAGUAGAAGACCUAGUGAAGAACUGUUGAGCAUGUGCCCUCACCAAUGCCACAGUGGAAGACGCUUACGAGGAGAUAGGCCUGGGACUUACUGGGAGGUUGACUUUACUGAGGUCAAGCCAGCUCGAUAUGGGAAUAAGUACCUUUUAGUUUUUGUAGAUAUCUUUUCAGGGUGGGCUGAAGCAUUCCCCACCAAGAGGGAAACGGCUAAUGUGGUGGCCAAGAAGAUACUCGAAGAAAUCCUUCCCCAUUUCGGGAUACCUAAGGUAAUAGGGUCAGACAACGGGCCUGACUUCGUCUCCCAGGUAAGCCAGGGAUUGGCCAGACAGCUGGGGAUAAAUUGGAAGUUACAUUGUGCUUACAGACCCCAGAGUUCAGGACAGGUAGAAACCCCCCGCCUAUCUAUGUGACUGUAGAAAAUAGAACUUGUCCUGAUGUUUCCUCCAUUCCCUCCUAGCCCGGCUGAAGGCUCUCGAAAUCGUGAGGAAAGAAACUGGGAGCAGUUGAAAGAAACCUACACCGCCAGCGACUUACAGGUUUCACAUCAGUUUGAAGUGGGAGACACAGCCCUGGUGAGGAGGCACCGAGCGGGGAACCUCGAGCCGCGUUGGAAAGGACCCUCCCUGGUACUAUUAACUACAGCCACCACCCUUAAAGUAGAAGGAAUCCCCUCUUGGGUUCAUGCCUCACAUGUUAAGAGGGCUCCCCCUGAGACUGAUCGUGAUGAGUGGACCCUGGAAAAGACUAAUAAUCCUCUUAAGUUGCGCUUGCGUCGCAAGAGCGACUCAGAACAGAGACAUCAACCCUCAUACUCCAACAAUCAUGGGAAGUGCUUAAUGAGGAGGGGGACACUGUAUGGUCGACCACCGCAGUACAACCCCCAUGGACCUGGUGGCCCGACCUCACACCUGAUAUUUGUAAGUUAGUAGCAGGGUCACUUACCUGGGACCUCCCCGACCAUACCGACCUUCAUAAACCACCACCUGAUAAACAGUGUGUCCCGAGCGGGAUAGGGAGCACGUUUGGAUGCUCAGGACAGUUCUACCGAGCCAAUCUUCGGUCUGCAGAAUUUUAUGUUUGCCCUGGCCAACCACGAAAGCUUCGGCAUCAGUGUGGAGGGGCACCGGACUUUUACUGUGCUGCAUGGGGUUGCGAGACCACAGGUGGAGCUUAUUGGAAUCCUACCUCUACCUGGGACCUGAUCACGGUAAAAAGGGGCAGUAGCUAUGACCAGCCAAACCAAGGUGAGAGAGAUAGUUCUAAAUACCUUGAGAGCGGGUGUUCCUGGUUCAACAGCCCUAAUGGACCUUGUAAAGAUAACUAUUGCAACCCCAUACGUAUAAAAUUUACUGACCAAGGGAAACGAGAACGCCAGAGCUGGCUUAAGGGAAACAAUUGGGGUUUGCGAUUGGACGAAGUAGGGAAAGACCCUGGAUUAGUUUUCAAAAUCAAAUUGACUGUGGAGAGUCCAUCCCCAGUGCCCAUAGGACCUAACAAGGCCCUCCCAGAACAGGACCUCCCUGCCAAACCCAAACCCCUGGCUCCAAUAAUUGAGAACCCCCUCAAGGUCGGCACCUCCCAAGAUUCCCCGACCACAAUCUCCUCAGAUCCCUCGACGGGACAGAGACUGUUCAACCUGAUUAGAGGGGCCUUUUAUGCCCUUAACAGCACUGAUCCAGAUGCUACAACUGACUGCUGGCUAUGCCUGUCCUCUGUCCCUCCCUAUUAUGAGGGGAUCGCCCUUAAUGGAGAGUUUAACACAACCACCAGUCAUGCUUCCUGCUCAUGGGGAACAGAAAAAAAAUUAACCCUGACUGAGGUGUCGGGAAAGAGCCCUGGUCUCUGCAUAGGGACACCCCCCCCUUCCCAUCAACACCUAUGUAACCGAACCCAUCCUGUAUCUAGGACAAGUACCAACCAUUACCUUGUACCAACACCAGUCGGCUGGUGGGCCUGUAACACGGGACUCACACCGUGUGUAUCAACUAAUGUGUUUGACUCCUCCAAAGAUUUUUGUGUCAUGGUUCAACUUUUACCCCGCAUAUAUUAUCAUACUGCCUCCAGCCUAGAAGACGAAUAUACCAAUAAGAGAAUUAAAAGAGAACCAGUUACCCUUACCCUGGCUACAUUGGUGAGGGUAGGUCUCACGGUGAGAGUAGGAACAGGGGUAUCAGCCUUAAUUGAGGGUAGACAAGGAAUCAAGUCCUUGAGAGAUUCUAUAAAUGAAGAUUUAAGCAUGCUAGAAAAGUCUAUCAAUACAUUAGAAAAAUCCUUGACCUCCCUGUCAGAAGUAGUAUUACAAAACAGAAGAGAUUUAGAUUUACUGUCUUUAAGGGAAGGUGGACUAUGUGCAGCUUUAAAAGAAGAAUGCUGCUUCUACGCAGACCACAUGGGGAUAGUCAGAGAUUCUAUGCAGAAAUUGAGAGAAAGGCUAGAAAAGAGAAAACGAGAUCGGGAAGCUCAACAGGGAUGGUUUGAGUCGUGGUUCUUUAAAUCUCCGUGGAUGACCACUUUAUUUUCUGCUUUGGCCGGGCCGCUUCUUAUUAUAUGUUUGGCAUUGAUCUUCGGCCCCUGCUUAAUAAAUCAGGGAAUUGCUUUCGUUAACAGUAGAGUGAAUGUAGUGCAGCUUAUGGUUCUCCAACACCAAUAUUAACCUAUAGUGAAGAUAGAAGAAGAAUAUGAUUCCUACCCCCCACAUGAGGAUACAGACCUUUAAAAUUCUAAGAUUAGAAUUAUUUAGUAGAAGAAGAGGGGAAUGAAAGAAAGAAAACCAAAUUCAAGGCCCCAGACAGGCCAGCACAAAGGCUGUUAAGUCAUUCCAGGAACUGACUUGCCAUAAAGAUAAGAGGCAUGCAAGAACAAUCUCUGGACAGGCCCAGUUGAGAUUGGGCCACCUGUUCUGGUCUCCUUCUGAUACGGUUUGAGUUUAACCAGAUGCUCUGCUGACAUAGAUAAGCACCCUCCCUCUAGAGUUGCUGUUGUCCCGACCCGCAAGUACCCGCUUGCUGAUGUUUAAACUGUCCAAUUGUGUGUAACCGCGCCAAUUUCCCCUACCCCUGACUUUUUUUCUAUAUAAACUCCUAACUUUUGAGCCUCAGGGUCGAUUCCUCUGUCUCCUGCAUGAGACAUGUGUUGGCCUGGAGCUCCGUCAUUAAACUCCCUCGUGUUUUUGCAUCAA